AUUUACACUAGAUGGAAUCGAAUUUCCCUAAAGGGCCAGACACUAUACGAGUCAUAUAAGGGAAGGCAUUAUAGGACUCAUAUAGUGCCAGGUGUUUUGUGGGACACUAUU